GCAAGUCGAACGGUAACAGGAAGCAGCUUGCUGCUUCGCUGACGAGUGGCGGACGGGUGAGUAAUGUCUGGGAAGCUGCCUGAUGGAGGGGGAUAACUACUGGAAACGGUAGCUAAUACCGCAUAAUGUCGCAAGACCAAAGAGGGGGACCUUCGGGCCUCUUGCCAUCGGAUGUGCCCAGAUGGGAUUAGCUUGUUGGUGGGGUAACGGCUCACCAAGGCGACGAUCCCUAGCUGGUCUGAGAGGAUGACCAGCCACACUGGAACUGAGACACGGUCCAGACUCCUACGGGAGGCAGCAGUGGGGAAUAUCGCACAAUGGGCGCAAGCCUGAUGCAGCCAUGCCGCGUGUAUGAAGAAGGCCUUCGGGUUGUAAAGUACUUUCAGCGGGGAGGAAGGGAGUAAAGUUAAUACCUUUGCUCAUUGACGUUACCCGCAGAAGAAGCACCGGCUAACUCCGUGCCAGCAGCCGCGGUAAUACGGAGGGUGCAAGCGUUAAUCGGAAUUACUGGGCGUAAAGCGCACGCAGGCGGUUUGUUAAGUCAGAUGUGAAAUCCCCGGGCUCAACCUGGGAACUGCAUCUGAUACUGGCAAGCUUGAGUCUCGUAGAGGGGGGUAGAAUUCCAGGUGUAGCGGUGAAAUGCGUAGAGAUCUGGAGGAAUACCGGUGGCGAAGGCGGCCCCCUGGACGAAGACUGACGCUCAGGUGCGAAAGCGUGGGGAGCAAACAGGAUUAGAUACCCUGGUAGUCCACGCCGUAAACGAUGUCGACUUGGAGGUUGUGCCCUUGAGGCGUGGCUUCCGGAGCUAACGCGUUAAGUCGACCGCCUGGGGAGUACGGCCGCAAGGUUAAAACUCAAAUGAAUUGACGGGGGCCCGCACAAGCGGUGGAGCAUGUGGUUUAAUUCGAUCCAACGCGAAGAACCUUACCUGGUCUUGACAUCCACGGAAGUUUUCAGAGAUGAGAAUGUGCCUUCGGGAACCGUGAGACAGGUGCUGCAUGGCUGUCGUCAGCUCGUGUUGUGAAAUGUUGGGUUAAGUCCCGCAACGAGCGCAACCCUUAUCCUUUGUUGCCAGCGGUCCGGCCGGGAACUCAAAGGAGGCUGCCAGUGAUAAACUGGAGGAAGGUGGGGAUGACGUCAAGUCAUCAUGGCCCUUACGACCAGGGCUACACACGUGCUACAAUGGCGCAUACAAAGAGAAGCGACCUCGCGAGAGCAAGCGGACCUCAUAAAGUGCGUCGUAGUCCGGAUUGGAGUCUGCAACUCGACUCCAUGAAGUCGGAAUCGCUAGUAAUCGUGGAUCAGAAUGCCACGGUGAAUACGUUCCCGGGCCUUGUACACACCGCCCGUCACACCAUGGGAGUGGGUUGCAAAAGAAGUAGGUAGCUUAACCUUCGGGAGGGCGCUUACCACUUUGUGAUUCAUGACUGGGGUGAAGUCGUAACAAGGUAACCGUAGGGGAACCUGCGGUUG
rnacentral:rRNA from 1 species